rnacentral:lncRNA from 1 species
GAGCAAAAAAGGCAUGGGAAUCUUGCUGCCGAGCUCCAUCUCCCUGCACCCAACUGUAAGAGAGAUAUCUAAGAAAAUCACCUAUUACUUGUCACUCCAGAGCAGUGAGAAGCCUGUAUUUGGCUGCUGGUAUCUCUCUGACAACCUCCCAGACUACACAAAUUGGAAGACACUACUCUGGGAAAGAUCUCUCCAGGUAGAUGGGGUUCCAGGUCUGUGGAC